rnacentral:rRNA from 1 species
AUGAUGGGCAUCUCCCUGCAGCGCUCCUGGAUCAUCCUGAGCGGUUGCGCCGUGCUCAUGCUCCCCAUCCUCAUCUUCACUGAGCCUCUCCUCGUCUCCAUUGGCCAGGACCCCAUGAUCAGUGCUGUCGCGGGGACCAUAUCGCUCUGGUACAUCCCUGUCAUGUUCGCCAACGUCUUCAGUUUCACGCUCCAGAUGUACCUGCAGGCGCAGAGCAAGAACAUGGUCAUCGCCUACCUUGCAUUUGUCACCCUCGGUCUCCAUGUGUUCCUGUCGUGGCUCUUCACCGUCAGGCUGCACCUUGGGCUCGCUGGGGUCAUGACCUCCAUGGUCAUCGCCAUGUGGAUUCCUGUGUUUGGGCAGCUCAUCUUCGUCUUCUUUGGUGGCUGCCCUCUCACAUGGACCGGGUUCUCCUUCACAGCACUCACCGACCUCGUCCCUAUCCUCAAGUUAUCUCUAUCCUCUGGUGUCAUGCUCUGUUUGGAAUUGUGGUACAGCACCAGAUUGGUGCUCCUUACCGGGUACAUGAAGAAUGCGGAGGUUGCACUUGACGCUCUUUCAAUAUGCCUUAACAUCAACGUUGGGAGAUGA